AGCUGCGUGGCGCAGUGGAAGCGCGGUAAGUUCCUAAAACUCACUAAAAUACACCAAAUCAUUGUACUGACAACAAACAAUAGCCGGGCUCAUAACCCGGAGGUCCUCCGAUCGAAACGGAGCGCAGCUA